CUCUCUAGGAUGACAAGUUCAUCUUCUCCAAGUUCUCAGCCUUUCUCAUCGAGUCCAGAUGAAUUCCACAUAGUCCACUGGCCAACUUCAUGGUACAUUACUAUAAUGGAAGCCAAGAGUUAUCAAAGGCUGGACUAGGAUUACCAUCACUGGACCUGAGCUCUUUGGCUGGAAGUAUGGAUAUUGCCCUGUUCUUUUCUGACUCGGUUUCCUAGUUCUUCCAUGACCAUGAUAUAUGUACAUCAGGAAUGACCAGACUGAGAAAGCAUAGGAAAAAGAACUUCUUCCUUGGAUCCCACUUUUGUAUUUUGAAACACCAAGCAAAGGAGAAAAGCUAGAGAAAAACAACACAGCCUAGAGGAUACAUGGAGUGGAAAAGAAAGAAAAACAAGCAAACAACUACAACAAAAACAAACCCUGAGUUACCAGCUCUAAAGAAAAUAUGUGAUCACUGUUAAUUUAAGGGGAAAAUAUAUGUCAACUCAGUGAAUUAGAUUCAUUAAUUUUCAAACAUUUUGAUCAGAUUUUAAACUCUUAA